rnacentral:rRNA from 1 species
UACGUAGGGUGCGAGCGUUAAUCGGAAUUACUGGGCGUAAAGCGUGCGCAGGCGGUUUUGUAAGCCAGAUGUGAAAUCCCCGGGCUUAACCUGGGAAUGGCAUUUGGGACUGCAAGGCUUGAGUGCGGCAGAGGAGACUGGAAUUCCUGGUGUAGCAGUGAAAUGCGUAGAUAUCAGGAGGAAUACCGAUGGCGAAGGCAGGUCCCUGGGCUGACACUGACGCUCAUGCACGAAAGCGUGGGGAGCAAACAGG